rnacentral:rRNA from 1 species
UACGGAGGUGGCAAGCGUUGCUCGGAAUCACUGGGCGUAAAGGGCGCGUAGGCGGGGAGGUAAGUCGGGUGUGAAAUCCCUCGGCCCAACCGAGGAACUGCGCCCGAGACUGCUUCCCUUGAGUCCCGGAGAGGAAGAUGGAAUUCCCGGUGUAGCGGUGAAAUGUGUAGAGAUCGGGAGGAACACCGGUGGCGAAGGCGGUCUUCUGGACGGUGACUGACGCUGAGGCGCGAAAGCGUGGGGAGCAAACGGG